UAUUUAGCUCCACUGCUGCCUGUUUUGCACAUUUAUGCUCAUUGCUUUCCAGCGUUUUGCAGUGGACUGGGUCAAAGGAGAUGGCGACACCUUAACUGAUCACGAGCGGCACGGUGGUGCAGUGGGGCUUGUGCUGAUGCCUCCCAGCUCUUGGGCUGUGGAUUUGGACACGAGUUUGAAUCCAUCUUGGUGACCUGUGGAGAUUGCAGAUUCUCAUCGUGUUUGUGAGGCUUUCCCUGGGGGUCCCAUUUCCUCCCACAGUACAAAGGUCACUUUUGUGUUACGCCCUUCCUGGGAUGCGAACGGGCAGGCGGCAGGGGGCAGCAGCACCUCCGCGGGGACCGAGGAGCCGCGGCGCAUUCCUUCGAGCGAGACGGCAGACAUGAGGGUAUGGCUCACUCGGGCCCUUUCAUAAGCUGCAGCUCACGCAGGAAACUUUGUUCCGUGUCGAGGUGCCAAGCCAAGCCUCCAGUUAUUUCCAAUCGCCUUCAAGUGCGCGACCUGCACCCGACUUCUGCAUUUGCUCUUCUUGAGUUGUCGAGCCCCUGGUUGUCUGACCUCGAUUCCUUCCGCACCCCAUCUGUGGGAUUGUACCCCUCGCACACAACCCGGAUGGUCCUUCGGAGGUGUUCACCAUCUGCCAGGCAGGUGAUCGACGCACUCUCCCUGACGGCUGGAAAACGGAGGUGUCUGCAGGUUUUGAGUCGGGAGCAGCGGGAGAUUCCCUCGCUCUAAUGGGCGCUUCCGUCUCGUCCUCUGCGUUGUCCGGGGAAGAGCAACCCUAUUCUCAGAUGGACGUGUCGGAAGAGCACACAUCCUGCACCUUCAAAGCACCCUGACCAGGUCAGGCGUGCUGCAAACCAUUAAGUGUGAUACACCCUUUCUCAAUGGCUCAAAUUAGGGUAGAGAAGAAUUCAAGGAGGGAAGAAUAUGCAAGAAAUUCAAUAGAGCUCUUGUUAAAUAAAAGCUGAAGAAAAGUGUCUGCCUGGGGCAACAAAAUAAUAGGUUAUUAGAACCGAAAAAAAAAAAUCACAGUUCUUUAAAACACCAGCUCCAAGUCGGAAGUCUUUAAAAGAGGUGCAGGUUGGAGCUGAAUCGGGGGAACCCUUAGAGCCGGGGACAGGCACGAUUGUGUUUCUGAAGCCUUUGAAAGGCGGAAGGGUCGCCAAGACAAAGGAAAGGCUUACAAAAACAGGAAAACAAUGACGGCUGUGUGACAAAGAACAGCGCAGUGAUUUUCACGGUGCCAGAAGAGAGUAAUGACUUUAUACUGAACGUGUGCAAAAAGAAAGACUUACAAAAGUGUGUGACAGUGGUACUGGAGCAUCAAGUGGACCCAGAUAAUAAACAGUGCAGAUUUAUUUAUUGAGUGGGCUGACAUUUUUCUCCAAAGCAACUUACUCUAUUAUGAUUCUACACUAAUGUACUUGGAAUAAUUUAAACAGCUGGGCAAUUUUUUCUGGAGCAAUUAAGGGUAAGGACCUUGUUCAGUGGUAUUACAGCAGGAGCAGGGGUUUGAACCCAGGCCCUCAACUGGAAAGCAACAGAUCUAAGCAUUACGGUACCUGCUGCUGGUACUCUGCAGAGAGACUCCAUUAUGGAGUUGAAGCUAUUCGGUGGGCUCAGUGCACAGUAUACGUUUUGAUGAGAACUCUUUAAAGGAAAGUUUGACUUUUGAGGAAAGAGAAGAUGUGAGAUCAGACAGAGUAACUUUGAAAAAACUGGUGGAUACAGGAAGGGAGCCAAAUUGAAGGCUGAGAGCAGAAGAGCAAGUUGGUUGAAGGGAAGCAUUAGGUUCAGGUCUGGAAACACAAGAGAAACAACAGAUGAAAGAAAGCAAAAGCAUUUUUAAGGCACAGAAAGAACCAGAGCCAUUAGCGGAUGUGAUAACGGGAAAGGAAGCGGACAGCCAAGAAAGGGAAAAAACAAAAAGGACCAGUUACGCGGUCCAUCUUGUGCAGACUGAAACAGAGAGAAAAAGGUGCAUUUAUAGCAGAUGACCACAGGUAAUUAUGGUUUAUUUAGAUCAGAGCUUUGGACUGGGGAGAGAAGCUGAAGCAGUCCUAAUAAAGGCUGGGAAGGUCAACAAACACAAAGAGAGCCACAGAGUUGGAAGAGGGAUGAUAAUCAGGUACCAUAGUACUCCUGAAUUAACAUGUCAUUUACUCUGUGGUCAUCUCGAGCUGUGCUUCUUCAAGGUGCAGCGUGCACACCAACCGUUAACUCUUUAUGUGUCUCUUGUUUGUUUCAUGGCCUCAUGGGAUCCAGCACUGAACUCCUGGGGCUGAUCUAAAGUAGGAUCCUGCUGUAGAUGGCAAAGGCUGUUGACCGAUUUCCACGCGGGCAGCAGCUUCUCACGCGCCUCUCCCUUUGUGAUUCGGAUCUCCAUCCAGACUCCAGCCCUGUGCAGGCUCUUUUCUCCCAUUGAUCUUUCUUUUGUUGUUUCCAGAACUGCUGAACUCAUUAAAUCCAUCAGCAUCAGAGUAUAACUCCGAGCUAGAGCCGAGAAUCUGUCUGCGUUGUUAAAUUGGGCCUCAUAAAUUGCACCUGUUCGUUCAAAUAGGUAUUGAUCUCUUUGGCAUUAAAACAGAUAAAAUGUUUAGUUGUUAUAGACUUUAUCGAGAAGCCCCCAAGAUACCUGGCUUUUAUGGAUACAUUGGUUUUCCUUCGUGCUUGACGAGUACAGUAUACACGUACCAUACCCCCCUUCGGAUAUGACAUCAUAUGAUUGUGACCCUAUCAAGAUAAUAGUGUUGAGUACAUUUAAUGUUUCUGAGGAUUAGUGUCGUAAUCUAUGAUUUGUUUCUGCUCAAAACUGUAAACACCUGCAUCUGGCCGCCAUCUGAUGAUGGGGAGACAAGUAAGGGAGGCCACCAUUCUUGGUGUAAAGUCACGUGAUGUGUUGUGUGGAGCAGAACAUCUCAAUUUCUCCCACACUGUGAGGUCUCCUGGUGAGUGACUUACACCACGUGAAGUGGUCUUUAAUUCAGAUAAAUUCUUCUUUUUAAAACCUCCUCAUAAAGUAUUUACAGGAGACAGACCACUAGAAAAUCUUACUUGAGUACUACAGCUGGGGUGGGAAACCCUGAUCUUCACAUGAUGCAAAAAAAAAACAAAAAUGGUGUCGGCUGUGCUGGGUAUUUGUUACUAAUUAUUCGGCCUUGAACAGAAUUUUAAUUACAUGUGAUACAUGACUCCAUGUUAAGCCAAAUGUAUCCUCUGACGAAUCACCAUUGCUUUCCAGUGGUGCGAAACUGCUCUCCUGUAAACCAAGGAAUAUCCAACUAAAUGCUGAAAACAUGAGGACAAUAUUUUUUAUUGAUAUAAUGCUAAUUCUUUCAAUUACUGAACAACUGCUAUUUUCUAAGCUCUCAAAGGGUUGAUACUGUAACACUAAUAAAAACAAAAUAAAAUACUACUUUGUUGUGUUCUGGUUCAGUUUCACAAAUGAGCAAAUAAAUUCAACAUAUCUAUUACUGUGUGUAAUGAUGUUCUAUGUACACACAAAGGUUUUCCAAAAAUGUAGUUUGAUUGAAAGGCAGUAAAAAGCAAUUGCUCAUUCUCAACUGGCACAACCUGUUUAAUGCAGUUUCAACAGUGCACUGCAGUGAAACAAAAUCCAGAGCAGGACUAAGUAAUUAUGAGCUCAGCUGGAACUGACAUUAGCAUACAGUAUGUCACGGCCCACAAGGAGCAGGCUCCUACACCCAGCGCGCACUACUUCCACGACUGCAGAGAAGGUGCUGAGAUGUUUGGAGAUUUGGAGUUGGAAGGAUUUGGCCCCACUUCUGUUGCACGACUGGAGGGUUUUAUACCUCCCUUGCAGCCAUGGAUUACACCGGCAAGACCUGCUCCGAAGCUCCUCUUCUCUGCUUUGUGACGGGAGAGACAAGGCCCGCUUCUCCUGGACUGGCCGCCGGCCGCUUCACGCUGUAGCAAUAAAGAAGAUUCUCGGUGCAAACUGGAGGCUAUGGAAUUACAUGGUUUGACUCCAUAACGCCGAUACCUUUCUGUGCUUCAAGGGCCAUUUUAUUUCUAGUGCAGAGUAACAGGUCAUAAAACGUUUCUCCUCCCAGCAUCUCACACCAAUAUCUAUGAAUAUCAAUAAAUAUGAAUGUUUUAUUGUCAUGAGCAGCUUUAUGUCUUUGGUGACAAAUACAAAUUAAACUCCACUCCCGGGUGACUUCUGACAUUAUUCCGGCAUUCUUCUCUGCUUUACAUUUUCCUUUCUUUUAUUUGUUUGUUUUAGAUCCACCCCACCCCCCUUUGUCUCCACUAUGAUUCCCUGCAAAGAGGCUGUAUUAUAAUUUUGAGUCUAUUCAUAUCACAUUUCCAUAGCCUCCCCAUGAAUGUGUCUAAUGAAAACAUGAAAAGAACUAAGA